UCUUCUCUCUUAAACCUUGUCGUUUCUUAUUCAACAGUUAGUACUCUUUAUCAUCAUCAUCAUAAUAAUGUUCAACAUCUUCAUUUCCUUCAUUGUUGUUCCAAGUAACUAUAGAAGCCUUCAACUUUUCAACCUUCUUAGGCUUUUUAUCUUCAUCAUCUUCAUUGGCUUCAUCUUCUUGUUUCUUUAUUAAAUUCAAAGAUGUAUCCAAAACACACCAUUACUCCCAC
rnacentral:lncRNA from 1 species